ACCGUUUGCUUUUGGUAAGUGGUAGAAUGCUCGCCUGCCACGCGGGCGCCCCGGGUUCGAUUCCCGGCCGAUGGUU
rnacentral:tRNA from 1 species